GAUGAACGCUGGCGGCGUGCCUAAGACAUGCAAGUCGAACGGACUCUAAUUUGCUCUCUGAACCGGACCUUUGGUGCGGGGUAGGGAGCAGUCAGAGUUAGUGGCGGACGGGUGAGUAACACGUUGGUACCUACCCUUUAGUGGGGAAUAACUGGCCGAAAGGUCGGCUAAUACCGCAUAAUACCGCAAGGUUAAAGCAGUAAUGCGCUAAAGGAGGGGCCUGCGUCCUAUUAGCUAGUUGGUGAGGUAAAAGCUCACCAAGGCGACGAU
rnacentral:rRNA from 1 species